rnacentral:rRNA from 2 species
UGGGGAAUAUUGGACAAUGGGCGCAAGCCUGAUCCAGCCAUGCCGCGUGAGUGAUGAAGGCCCUAGGGUUGUAAAGCUCUUUCGCCAGGGACGAUAAUGACGGUACCUGGAUAAGAAGCCCCGGCUAACUUCGUGCCAGCAGCCGCGGUAAUACGAAGGGGGCUAGCGUUGUUCGGAAUCACUGGGCGUAAAGCGCACGUAGGCGGAUCUUUAAGUCAGGGGUGAAAUCCCGAGGCUCAACCUCGGAACUGCCUUUGAUACUGGAGGUCUCGAGUCCGGGAGAGGUGAGUGGAACUGCGAGUGUAGAGGUGAAAUUCGUAGAUAUUCGCAAGAACACCAGUGGCGAAGGCGGCUCACUGGCCCGGAACUGACGCUGAGGUGCGAAAGCGUGGGGAGCAAACAGG